AUCCUUCAGCAGACAGCUAAGGAGAGGCCAACAGAUCAGGCAGCCAUUUUUCUGCAAUGGAAUUAAAUGGCCAACUGGGUUUUCCUUUGUUCCAAAAGGGGAUACUUGAUUUGAAAUGAAUCCACACCAUCCAUUUCAGGACUGCUCAGUGUUUGUGUUAAUGUCUGACAACAUUUAGAGGACUCAAAGGAAGAAGGAAGACUUUUAUAAAAAGAUCUGGAUUUUUCCCUUUGAAUUGGAACCCAUCUUUGUCUUGUUGUAUAUAACUAGGUCAUAGCACGCCCUUAUGUCAGCAGUAACAAUUUUGAGUUACAAAAAAAGUAAAUACAUGUUUUUUGUUUGCUUUUUUAAGGCUUUUAUCUAUUUGCCUAAGAGAUACAUUUUUAAAAUAUAGUUUCCUGUAUUAAACACUAAAUACCUGGCCAUCUUAAGUUAAAUCCUUUCGUGCUAACAAGGUAAUGUUUUAAUGUAGAUGUAGGAAAUGUGAAUUCUUGCCAAAAAAAAAGUCAUUAGGAUAAGCUUUUUUUCCUUUUACAUUGUGGAUGUCUUCUAACAACCUUUUUUGGUCAAUGGCAUAGACGACUCUAAAUGCCUGAACAAGAUCUGUUGACUUGCAAAGUUACGACAGAGAAGUGAUUUUACAGAACAUAACGUAUAUUUAGAAAUAGAUCUUUUUUUUUAAAAAGCCCCACAACUUCACCUUCAGAACUGCAUUCAACUAUGAUGUGCGGUCCAAGGAGGUCAUCCUCCAUAGUAUGGGAUUGCGAACUGAGCAUGCUCCAGACAGGACCAAUGAAAGAACUGCAGGUGUGACUAUAUACUGUGUAGGAGGCGACCCAGCCCCAGUUCUGGUUCUGUUUUUGCUCCACAAACAGGUCUGUUCCUUUGCUCUGGCAAAUUUUGGCCUUUACUGCUUGGCUAGCUAGUUUUUCCAUUCUUCUCUAUCCUCUUGGUUCUACUUUCUAGUAUUGUGCAAAGAGGGGAGAGAAGUCGGCUUUUGCUUUAUUUGGCUACUCUAAAUUCAGUUUGUGUUCUUAAUUCGGCUGUGUUUUGGCAUUUUUUGUUCCUUUUACUUUUGUUUUGCCGUUCGACUCAAUGGAGAAUGCUCACGUGGGCGCUCCACUCAAAGGCUCCCUAUCCGAGGGACCCGCUUCUGAUUGGAGGGCCCUACAGCCCUUCCAUGUGUCGGCUCCUCUGGAGGAGGACGACACCCUGAGCUCUCCCCUAGGCGAACGCUGUGCCUAGGAAUGGCCAGCUGUUCCCUCUGCCUCUUCUGGCCACUCUAAGAGCAGAAGAAGGCGAAGCAGAAAUCAAGCAACUCAAGGAUCUGGCUUUGAAGCGCUCUGCUGUCGCUAAAGCACGCUCGGCACCUGCCUCGGCUGUGCGCCUGAGCGAGCGGCUCCUGCUGCAGGCAGUUUGUCACAAGCAUUUGCCCUGCCACCUGCUGGAGCCCCAAAGGGGAGCCACCGACCCGCCACUGAACCAGGGCACCUGGCUCCCUUAUUUAUCGCCGGUCCCUCCUUUCACCUCCCUGGAGAAAGUGAUCGAGCUGCCCGAUGCGGGAACCAAGCUGGGGACCAGGCCUCCUCCUCCACUGCCUGGGGAUCAUGGAAGGAGAAAAUCUGAUAAUAUUUAAUAAAGGGCGUAACUGAAGACCAGGUAGCUGCUUUACAAAUUUCCUGCAAGGGCAUGCUGCCCGAGAACGCUGCAGAAGCAACCGCGCUACAUGUAGAAUGUGCCAUGAUCCCAGGCGGCCUUGGGUUGCACAAUCCUGCAACAGGUGGUCUGAUCCACAUCCUCUCUAGCCCGCCCUCUUAGACUCUAUUCUUAGCUUGGGUAUGUCCCAUACAAUGGAGGAUUACCUUCUCGGACUAUGGAAAAAGAUACAUUGGUCAUACCAUGAAGGGUUCUUUUUCAUAGCCGAGGAGGUCAUCCGGCCUGCCCGAAGAUGUGUUAUGCCAUUUGUUAUCGGGCCGUUAUUUUCUUUCAGGGAGGGCACGGUGUGUCUGGGCGGAAUUGACUUCUGGGACAUUUUAGUUAGUAGGCUUUGGUGGAUCAUUCUGUCUGUUUGCCUUGUUCUACUGUUUUCUAAUCUGCCUGUUUUCUCCUGUUCUCUGAGAGUACUGUGUAGGGGCUGGGUCGCCUCCUACACAGUAGCUAGCCACGCCUGCAGUUCUUUCAUUGGUCCUGUCUGGAGCAUGCUCAGUCCUCAAUCCCAUACUAUGGAGGAUGACUUCCUUGGCUGUGAAAAAGAACCCUUCAUGUGUGUCAGGCUGCUUUUCAAGGAAAACAAGUCUGGAGCCCUGUUGGAGACGCUGAAAAUAGACACUGGCCUCCUGCUCUUUCUGCACCACUUUGGUACUCCUGGGUCUUUUGCCUCUUGCUUCUUUCCUACUGGCAUUUCACCCCUGAACAUGUAGUUUUCUCAUAUAUUCAGCUCUAGAAGGCCAUCUAGUGGCAUGAGCAAGUCAAAGUGUAAAACCAUCUACAAGUUUAAAAACAUGUAAGUUGGUGAGCAUUAUUUCAAGGGGUGCCAUAUUGCCUGUAGGAAGAUAAACUACUCCCUUUUAUCCAAUAAGAAACUUUAUAUAAGGGGAGAGCAACUGGCCCUAUCCAUCCCCAGCACAGCAUCCCUCCAGUGGCUGUUGCUGUUGAUUUCUUGAUCAUGUUUCUUUGAUUGUGAGCCCUUUGGGGACAGGGAGCCAUUUUAUUUAUAUUGAUAUAAAUCUUUGGGAACUCUUGUUGAAAAGCAGUAUAUAAAUAUGUCAUUCAUAUUGUUCUUAUGAACAAAUAAAUCCCAUGUUCUGAAUUUGUUUGGGUGCAUGGACUACAGGAAUUCAUAUCGGCAGCACAGGGACAUUUUAGGUCAUGAGUCAUGACAUCUAUCUAGAAUCACUUGCUACUUACAUUUACAGCUGUUUGUACUCAGUGUUGUGAGCAGAGUUGCACUAUGGGCUGGUUUGCACACACACGGUCAUUGAUUAAUUACUGCAGCAUCAAGUGAUGACCUGCAUGUUUAAAUGAAACUUCACAGCAGUAACACUGCAGAAUUAACUGUCUCCUAAUUGGAUGUCCCCUAUGUCCCUCCCUGGACUUGGAGAUCUUCCUCAAAAGCCCUGCUCAGAGUGCCCCAGCCAAAUGAAGUGAAGCCGGGGUGGGAGGCGGGCUGCUAUGGCUACUUGCCUGGUGUCAUAGCUAUUUUCUUUUAGACACAAGGUUAAGAUCUUUGUUCACCCAACCAUUUAAAAUGGGUUUAAAUGUUUUUGUUGUAUUUAAUUGUAGUUUUAAUGUGUUUGUAUGUUUUAUUGUUUUGUGAACCACUGAGAAAGCCAAAAUAAAGUUUAUCAUGUCCGAGUA